UGCUCCUGUUUAUUUAAGAAAUGGUUACAUCGACUAUUUUAAAUAGAAAAAUAGCCUAUAAAUGUUUAAAUACAUGGCUAGAGCUGCUGCAGAAAACAGCAUCCUAAUGUUCAGAUCCUCCUUCGCACCUACAUGCUGCAGAAUUUACCUGAAGUGUCACAUUGUGAUGUCACAACGCGGUUUCUCCAUGUCUGUCAGUGGCAACUAAUCACGUGGAAAAGGUAUGGAGAAAUGUUCCAUGUCAUGGUAUCAUACCUUAGAGUAAUAGCACUUCCAAAUGUCCUUUUUAGUGUGCAUUCAUGAUGAUUUGUGCUGUUGAUGUGACUGGGGCAGUCAUACAUUCACAAUCUCACUUUCGAUACUACUUGCAUCUGCAAAGGUUUUGGGGUGGUCAUACUGCUUCAUUUCCAAAACACGCACAGCAGUGUAUAUUCUGUAAUUUCCUGUUGAAAUCCUAUAACUUUUCAUACCAUAAAUGUGCUGUGGGAAGGAGGUUGUCCCGCUUUUGUUGUUGUUGCUGCUGCUGCACAAUAGUCCCUCCAGGCAGCAAUAGUGUGGUAGUAUUGGGGAAUGACUGCAACACAACUAAUAAGAAAAUAAGAAAAAUCCACCACCAAUGUACCAUUAUUCUGCCAAGAACAUGGUGCAGAGCAUACCUAAGUAAUGGUAUCUAUGUUACAGAGAGAGGUGUUACAAAAGCCUGGCGCCUGUCCCUCUCUCUGCCAAGCCAUGGCAAGAGCGCAUGGGAUCUCAGACACCCCCACAGGGUCUGUGUCCCCUUUGAGAAUAGAAGACACGGCGGAGGCUGUCCUGCUUUAAGAAAUAUUUGCCUAUUUACACCCUCGGUCUGCUUGGAGGCACUGGUGGAGGAAGAGGAGUGCAGGGGGAGUGCACCACCCCUGGCAGCGCGAUUCCAGUGGGGUGCCAUUGUGGCUGCUCCCCUGCCUACGCGGGGCACCACGCCCCAGGACGUGCGCCACCCCUGCCCCCGCCUGCUCUCCGCCUCCCCCAGUGCCGGAGCAUGAAGCUCCGCCACUGCUUGAAGGGGGUCCAGAUCUUACAGCAUGGCCCAGAGCAUUGCAGGCAGUCCUUCCUUCACCCUCGCCAAGGUGGAUCUGCCCCUUUCUUUCUCUUUCUUCUUCCCAGAAGCCCCCUGCCCCCCCCAGAGCAGUUACCCUGGCAACCGUCCAAAUAUCCUGUCUCUGGUCACACCUGGGACAGGGAGUUGUUGAUGACCCUCAAUGGCUCUCUAUUGUAAUGCUAACAGCUCUACGCUUCCCUCAGCCAGCCAGACUGGUUUGCGUAAGGCAGCCAGGAAUCCCCUUGCAGCUUAUAUUCUCUCUUCAUAUCACAAAGAACACAAAAUCCUAGCAUUUAUUAAUUUCCAGGGUUUACCCCAAAUCUCUAACAGAGGGAAUAAAAUGUCUGUAUAGGGAUGCAACUCUUGGAGGCGGCCCCAUGUCUCCCCCGAAAUCUAGCUCCUCACUGUCACGGUUCCUCCUAUUAAAAGAAAGCAGAAGUUGAGAGUGGAAUAUAGGUUGGGGAAUUGUGCAGUAACAACACAGAAGGUCAUGAGGAUCUGGAUAUAAUAUAAACUUUCUCAAAGUUGCUUAAUUAUUUGCCAUAGAUUGCCUUGGAUCCAUGGCAGAGUCAUCCCAGAUUGAAGUGAAACAUGUUGCUCCUCAGUUGCUUCGAAAUCUUCCCCAAAGAACAUGGAUAUUUGAUCUCUGACUGCUCCACUGAAUGUUGCACCGAGCCAUUUAUUUCCUUCUGGUUACAUUUCAAUAGGAUCAGAAAAAUCCCAGCUCCCUGGCAAACAAUGUUUCAGCACAUUUAAACUAUUAGUUGGAGGAUCAAGUACAGUAUGCCAUUUUUGACCCAGAUUCAAGUGUUAAUUAACCCUCUGUAUAAUAUUCUCAUAUCUAUAACUCUUCUGCUUCAGUUUCUUGCCCUAGGAAGGGUUGACCUUGAUAUAAGCACUUAAUAUUUAACUGCAGCAAGAAAGCUGGUGUAAAACAUUUAUGAAUUCUGGAUAAAUGAAUGUAAAUACAGGCUCUCUGUUUGACUCAUGUUUAUGCAUUAUGCUAAUAGGGGAUUUAGCAUGAAUCUCUGUGGGGAAAAGCUGAAUAGUCAAUAUCAAUAUCUAGUCUGACGCUAAGAUCCUUGCAGCGGUUGUGGCAGACAGAUAGGUACGCUGAGCCACCCAAACCAGGUCGGAUUUGUAUGUCACCGACAGGUGGCUGAUAAUCUUCAUCUUGUAAUUGACUGGGCUGAAUAGGUCCAGUACAUCAACUUCUGCUCUCCUUUCUCUGGAUGUGGAGCAGACAGGGUCCACGGUCCCAUCUUUUAUCUACACUCCAGCAUUUUGUAUACCCUGGGAGAUUGUGCACUGGGUGCGCACUUUGUAUUUCAUGCCCAGAUCCAAAAUACAGCAUAAUGGGUUCUUCUCCGCUUUUCCCCUAGACAGGGUUGUCCCCUCUCUCCAUGGAUUUUUUAAAUCUUUGUUUGGAACCACUGGCAGCUGCCAUUGGAAAAACCACCCAGAUUCACAAUUUGCAGUACAGGCAACUCCCCAUUUACGUGCGUUCGAGGCAUGCAUGACUACGCGCACACACAUCACCACAAACCUAGAAGUGGCACGAAAAGGGGCAAAAAUGGCCCUAAAAUAGCACAAAAAUGGCAAAAACAGUGUGAAAACAGCACCUAGUUUUCCUCAGCCAGAUGGGUGGGGUAUAAAUAAAAAAAUAUUCUUCUUCUUCUUCUUCUUCUUCUUCUUCUUCUUCUUCUUCUUCUUAUUCUUAUUAUUAUCCUACGCCACUGAGACAUCGUUACCAAACCCUAACAAAUAAGCCAACAUGAGAUUGAUUUCCUAAUGUCUGGCAAUACUUGUGGAGUAAGCUGCAUGGCACACCAAGCUUUGCCCUCCAGGGGCGUAGGAAGGGGGGGCGGUGGGGGCGGUUGGCCCCAGGUGUCAUCCAUGGGGGGGUGACAAAAAGGCACACCACAAGGGGCUCACCCUGCCGCCACCACCAUGUGCGGUGGAUGGUCCCACUGCCACCACCGCACAUGACGGAUCACCGCCCCCCACGCAGCUUGCCCUGCCCCCCCAGGUGCACGGCAUGGUCGCCGCUCCAGGCGCCCAUGCAGCUAACUCCACCACUGCUGCCCUCAAGCACCUCACCACUGCUCUCUAACCUACCAGCGCCUGCAGCCCAAAGCAGCUGUGUCACUCUGCCUAAUAGUAGGGCUGGACCGAUUCAGUCCAUGGAGAACUCUAGAUUGAUGACAAAGUCCUGACUCUUCACUUCCCUUUCUCCUAACCAUCAGUGAAUACAAGAGAUCUAGUUGUUAAUGAUAUGAACAGAUGUCAUUCUUUUGUAUGGGGAAUGUAAAUAACCCUUUCAUGCUGAUGGAUGCUUUGCUAAUCCAAGUGGGGGGAAGUAAACAGUGUAGUAAAGCUUGGGAAUGGUUUGUUGGUAAGCCUCAAUGUACAAAAGAGCUAGUUUUGGCAGAGCCAACGGGCUGAAUGCUUGCAUUCCAGAAAUCUUAGUUACUAUUGUCACUGUGGGUCUUUGGGUUUUUGGAGCUGUUGCCACAUCAUAUGCAUCUGCCAUAUUCUUUAAUGCCAUGUCAAAAGAACCAGUGCAAAAAUCAAUAUAUUUCCUUCAAUCAAAGUGGCUUAGAUCACUGCACGUGAGCUUCCUAGUACAGUUACUAUAUUUCAACCAUCCACUUCCUUGUUACAUGUAAAGUCAUGGUGCUUAUUUGGGUAGUUGGAUGUGCUUGUACCGAAACCAUUGAAGAACCACGAAAACGCAAAUUUUCAUAUUUAAUAACUGAAUAUCAGUCCCACCUCAGUCUUGUUUGGAUUUAAUAAAUAUUCCUUGCAACAUCUUUUCCUUUGCAUUCAUAAACUUUUAUGAGAUUUAAUCUAGGUUGUGAUUGCUUUCAUCCUUUCACCACUUUUAAAGAAUAUUAAUGGCAGAGCUAUGAUUUACUGCUAUUACAAAGGCAUAAUCUAGCAAAAGUUGCCCUCUGGUUUUAAACCAUUAUGUCGAGUUGUUUCUAUGGUUGGUCUCAUUAAGGUUACAGUUUGGCAGCCUUUCAUUAUAAAUUAUCAAUUUAUAAUUUCAAUUAAAUAUGUAAUAUGCAGAUGCAGCUUAGUAAUUGCUAUGAGUUUGUGCCUCCCCCCUCCCCAUUCCCAAUGGCAUGCCUAAUCUCAUAUUCCAUGGGUAUUGUUACACAUUAGGAACUCAGUCUCAUGUUGGCUCACACAUCAGGGCUUCAGGGAAUGAAUUAAAUGCAAUAUUUUGUGUGUAGGAAUUUUGUUUAAAAAUUGUUGCCUUGGCCCUUUGGUGUGUUGCUUGGCUAGUUUGCUCAAGCCAUCUUAAACUAUAGAUGUACGGUACAAUUGUCUUCUGAUGGUGGCACAUGAAACCAGAUUGUGUGGUCUGAUCAGAAGGUGAGAAGGCUCCUGGAUGGUCUUGGGUUUGGGACAGGGGGUGUCAGGGUUGGGCCAGGGGCAGUAGUCUGGGCUGUUAGAGAAGCUGAGAAGCAGUCAGAACUAAAGUAUAAGUAAGAUUGAAGGAGAAAACAGAAGCCAAAUAUCAGGAGCAUGCCAUGAAUAACCAAGGUACAGGAACACGCCUGAGCUCAGAAAGAACUUGCUGCUUAAGCUAAGCUCAACUACAACAGGAAAAAGCCCCUUUAUACACCUUCCUGCCUAGGAAGAUCUAACGGGCUGUCUGAUGGGCAUUCUGGGGUCUGAAGGCAGCAGCACAUGGGCCCAGAGGUUUCUGACAGACAAGCUAGAACUGUGAGAUCUCAUGUUUCUGAAAUAGUGAAGACAAGGAGGCACAACAGAGCCAGACCCUCAUAGGAUUUGAACGCUCUGCAAUCUCUCCAUCUAGGUGCAGGUUGUAUAUAUACAUAAAUAAAACCUUAUAUCAUAAAGACACCACAGUCUCUGCUGUGCCUCAUUGUCCCAGAAGGGAACACAAACCCUGGUCAACUGCCUACAACCCCUGGAAUCUCGUACCGCUCAUGGAAAUUGGAGUGGCAUGUAAUAAUAUUAAAAGCUUGUAUUCCCCAUCCCUCUUUCAAUCUCUCCCCUGCUUGCAUUCUCUCCCCCUGCCCCCAUGUAAUGAGUGUGAUACACUAACACAAAAUCCCACACUGUUUUCACUCCUGUUCCGGCCCUUUCCUUGGAAUGCUGGGUGAGAGUUGCACAUGUCUUUGGGGCCAGAGGUCUGUGAGGUCCAGAGAUAUGGCUCACUUCAGAGGCCACUUCAAGGCCAAAUAUUCUUUGUCCUCUCCUUCCCAGAUGCUCUUGUGCCUGUUCUGAGGUGAAAGCAGGCAGGGGAACUGCAAAUGACUGCCAUUCUGCUUUUUACCUGCUCUGGAGCAAUUUGAAGCGUUCUUAUUAUGGGACAAUAAUUUCAUCUGCUCUUAGGGUUGCACUUUUAAAUAUAUUAACAAACUUCCUCUCUGCAACUAGAUUCAUGAUCAAACAAAACUUUUAAAUUAAUCUCCUAGAUUUCCUCUGCAUUCUGGAAUCGUCUUUCCUCUGACAACACCAGGAUGCUGAAAAAACAGGGACUCGAAUGUUCACAGAAAAGAGAGACAGAGCAGAGGCCUUGGCAGCUCUGCAGUGCCCUUCUCAGGUUUCUGUUUCCUUUUUAAUGGCUCACACACACCCCUCUCAAGGCCUGUCUCUGAUUUUCAGGGCACGACCUUGAUUUUACAUCAAACAUUCUCCUCAUCCUGCUGCUGUCUGGCCAGAUUACGGAUGUUAAAGCUGAUCUUUCAUUAAAACAUUUUGGGUUUUAUUGUUUUCCUAAACUAAGACUCAUCUAAAACUUUAAAACCCCUAUGUUCAUCCUUUCCAAAAUCUCCCAGACUUUGAUUCUUUGUCUCUGACUUAAUUAUCAGACAGCUGCAAGGUAUGAUGGUGAAGAGAGAAUUUAACUCGGGGAAGAAGCAUCCGGUUUAAAUCUAUCUGAGGAACUACAGCAAAUUAAUAGCUUUUUUUUUUUAUAUGCCCGUCUUUUCGUUCAUAAGCUAACAGAAACUAUUCUAGUUUUCUCUGAAAUGAUCUGGUUUAUUAUGACUGAAGCAGCAUUUGUGCCGCUAUUUAUUUGAUCUGUCUACUCACUAGGCCAUUUGCUAGGCCAGUUCUUGCACAUCUACCCACAACUUUAUUAAGACAGAGUCUUGCUGAGGCCGGAUUCUUAAGCCCCCUCCAAUCAGGAUUGGUUUGGGCUGGGCAGCCCUCCUAGCAGUUUUUUGGAUUACAUGGAGCUCAUCCCAAAGAACAACAUUGUAAACAGACCCUGAACUGUUGGCACACAUAAUCCACUCUAUUUUAUCUUGCUCUCAACACUUCAGCCUGAAAUAAAAGAGGCUUGCAUUGCUUAAGAGCAUUUUCUAUGUUAACUGGGUAGUGCUUGUUCCUUAAAGCACAACAAACAAUAUGACAAUUAUGACAAUGACAACAGCUUCUUCCCUUAAUGCCCUCCCAGAUGACCUGCUUAUUGAACGUUAAUCCUGACUUGCUGGCACAAAUUUUAUAUGGAGCUUAUUAUAUAGCAUCACUACUUUCCUCCUAGACUUAACUAGGUCAGGCCCCCUCAAGUUGGAAGGAAGUUAAGUUUCUCCACCACAUGAACCCAACCAGACACCUGAGCUUGAUUGCUUCAAGCUCAGACCAUGUGCUUGAAAACGUUUUACCAUAUUUUGUAACCCAAAAUUUCUAGCUGCUGCAUGGAAAAACACAUGAAUCUGAAAUUUGGAAAGUUUGUAAGUAAAAAAACCCCACCAUGUUAACUUACCAAACUGUGUUGUCUAUUCUAGGGUAGAAAGGGGAAGCACUGUAAGCAAACUAAAAUAGGAUAUUUUAAAGGUCUAACAGCCUCUAUUCCCAUGCUUUGCUGCAUGUUUUGGGUUUAAAACCUCUGUUAGGGCUCUCUCUUACUGGAGAGUAUUCUGCCCCAUGUUUGUAUCUAGGGAUCAAGCAAAUUCUUCUUUAUUUAAGCAAUAAUAACUGGCACAUUUUAGUACCAAGAGCUUGUAAAAAGAAAACCUGUACCCAUUGGCUGUCUGUUCCCUGCCAAGUGUGCUUCAAAGGGAAGUCAAAGGUGAUGUAAGAGGAGUGAAUCACAUGACAGAGUAACAGAGACAACAUUAAGUAUCAGUAACCUGGUUGGUUUGAAUAUGCUAGUAAGAAUUGAGCAGGGGACUUUUACACAUGCAACCAGUAGGGAUGGGGGAGACAUUUGAUGCAACACACUUUUAAAGGCAAGCCUGCCUAACUCAUGCUUUAUGAAACUAUAUGCAGACCAAAACAGAGUUAUCCUUCAAGAUUCACAUCUCUCUGAAUUUUGAAGUGCAGUUCUCCAGCCAAGUGCCAAUGGAGUUACUAUGUCAGACUGAAUUACUUCUAGGUAGAAAAUGGACUUUAUUAAUAAAACUGAGGAAUGGUAGUUGUUAAUGAAGUUGAUGCCAAAGUAAAAUUAUGACCACUUUUGCCUGAGCUCAGUGGGAUUUGCAUCUGAGUAGACAUUAUGUUUGCGCUGUAGAACUCCGACGUAUCACCUCGCAGUGAUUCACGCAGCCUCUUCUUGGGGUUCUCUCUCCCUCUCUCGACUCCAGGCUUCAACAUGCUGUCACAGCCCCCUGCUAAUUGGAUACAUCUGACAUGCGUCGGCUUCUUUGAAAGUUCUCCAAAGGCACCGUUGCAAGGAGCCCAUUUGUUUCACACUGAAUUUACAGAGUGAAAGUUUUACCAGCUGGAAAUCUCUGAACCAAAGCUGUUCUUCCACAAAGAACAAACAAAUAGAUUGGAUCCAGACCAUGGAGACUUUCAACUUUUGCGUUAAGGUAUCACACUCAUUACAGUGGGGGGUGGGGAGACAGAAUGCAGGCCGGACUUGUUGAGUUUCAGUAGCAGAUUUAAAAGCUGGGACCAUACAAGCUUUUAAUAUUAUUACGUUUUCAGCUGUACUUUUCGCUUAGCUUCCAAAAUUGGUUCACAUUUUCCCAAGGCUUUGCCUUCUGAAAGGGAGGGACUGGAGUUCAAUGGCAGAGUAUGUUUCGCCAAGAAAAGGUUCCAGGUUCAGUCCAGACAAGGCUAGGAAAAACUCCUGACUGAAACCCUGGAGAAUCACAGCCAUUCAGUAUUAGGGAUCAUUGAAUCAUUGAAUUGUAGAGUUGGAAGGGACCCUGAGGAUCAUCUAGUCUAACUGCCUGCAGUGCAGGAAUAUGCAGCUGUCCCAUACGGGGAUCGAACCUGCAACCUUGGCAUUAUCAGCACCACACUCUGACCAACUGAGCUGUCCAGGCACACACAGAGGAGACAUUCAUUUCAGUUCGGAUUUAUCAUUAUUAUCUUGAUUUAUUAUCUGUCUUUCACCAUAAGAUAAUCUGCCCUUCAACAAACAUAGUCAAUGUGCAUUUUCCGAAACAAUACUCAAAGCGAAACAUAGCCACCCAUCAAAAUUCACACUUCUCGUUGAAUUUUUCAAUGCAGUUCUCUAGUCAUUCAGUGUAGUUCCACGCGCCACCAACUUCAUUUAUUUAUUGCUGCUCCAGAUGAUCAAUUUAUUGAGCAUUUGUCCUGAUUCGCUUGCACAAAGUAUACACAGAGGUAAGAAUGUAUCCCAUUUUUAUGGAGCACUUGUUAUUAUUUGUUGGUGGUGCAGUUCUGCAACGAUUAGCAUUCGUCCUGAUUUGCUUGCAGGGUGUUAAAUCGUUCAUUCCUCCCACACUGUUUGUUACAUUUCCUGCAAAGUCCUGCAAAGUCUGUUUCUUUUUUUAAAGUGGAUUUGUUGCACUAAUCCGCUUGAAUUGCGCAAACCUAAAUUUCUGGUAUGUGCUUGAAGCUCUCCUGCAAAAUACUGGAGGCACUUUUUGUUCUCUCUCAGACCUUCAGCAAUCAUUCAUUUUAAGGUGGCUCAAAUUGUGCUUCCCUGCACCUGGCCACUGUCAGUAUAGCUGCCUGCCACUUAACUGAUUCAGUACCAACUCAUAAAAGAUGCAUGGACUUUACAAAAUUUAGACCGCCUCUCAUUUAUUCCCAGCUACGAAAGACAGACAGUGAUAGUUUUGUAACUCUCCUAGGAUGGGAAAAAGCAACCUCAGCUUCAAAUACAUUGGUAGCAUAUUCAAUACAGUACUAAUGUACCUGCUUCCUACCAGCAGACAGUGUUGAAUGGUGUGUGGAGCAGCACAUUUUAGCAACUGGGAACAAGAUCAGAAAAAUCAAAUCCCUCUCCCAAAAGUUCAUUUGGUUCAGCGCCUCACUGUCUCAUGAUCUUUUUAAAUUACAUGAUUUUUUGCAGUCGAGCCUGUAAAAAGUGUAGUGAAUUCAUUACCAUCUACAGUGGUGCCUCGCAAGACGAAAUUAAUUCGUUCCGCGAGUUUUGUCGUCUUGCGAUUUUUUUCGUCUUGCGAAGCACGGUGUUGGGAAAGUUUUGGAAAAGCUUCAAAAAUCACCAAAGUCUUUAAAAACCUCAAAAAGGCUACCACACCGUGUUCUAUGAGUUGCUCCUCGAAGUCAAGUCGCAACUGUAUUAACGGUGUUAAGAAAAAAGAAACAAACUUGCAAGACGUUUCCGUCUUGCGAAGCAAGCCCAUAGGGAAAAUCGUCUUGCGAAGCAGCUCAAAAAACGAAAAACCCUUUUGUCUAGCGAGUUUUUUGUCUUGCGAGGCAUUCGUCUUGCAAGUUACCACUGUACAAUCAACAGUGCCCACUAGGAGUUAAUUUUUCAUGAAGAUAUAGUACACAGCAUACCAAAGUUUCAGAGAAGUGGCAGUUGCACUCAGUCCAUAUUGUUUUGUUUUAUUACUCACCCCACAUAUUGGAAAUGCCAAAUGUGUGUGAUAUGUUCAUUCCCCUUGGGUAAAAAAGGAAAGUGUCAUGGAGCCCACCAACCCUCUGAAGGCUCUGACCUUUAGGGAUUUUUGCCACUGCCUUCCUAGCUAGUGAGAUGCAGGGAAGUUCACAGCCUCUUAGGAGAUUAACUUGGAAACUGGAAAACUGCCAGCUUACUCUCUGAACAUCGCUGGAAGAAAGACUCAGCUCAUCUUGCCUUGAUCUCUUGCUUGCCAAACCCUUGUAAUGUACGACCUGAAGAGCCUGGCUCUUGGGAUAUGUUCCUGAGGGUGUUCUGGAACCAUCCUCUAGGGUCUGAAUUAGAAAGGUUUUCUUUUAUUUUUUUAAGCGAGGAAGGAAGGUAUGUGUGUGUGGGGGGGGGGACAAACAAAAAAGUGCCUAAAUGAGGGGCUAAACCAUGGGUAGGCAACCUAAGGCCCGGGGGCCAGAUCCGGCCCAAUCGCCUUCUAAAUCCGGCCCACGGAUAGUCCAGGAAUCAGCGUGUUUUUACAUGAGUAGAAUGUGUGCUUUUAUUUAAAAUGCAUCUCUGGGUUAUUUGUGGGGCGUAGGAAUUUGUUCAUCCCCCCCCAAAAAAAAUAGUCCGGCCCACCACAAGGUCCGAGGGACAGUGGACCGGCCCCCUGCUGAAAGUUUGCUGACCCCUGGGCUAAACUUUCCACACAUGGUGGACCUGAAGGGUCUUAAAGAGGUUUAGCUGCAGACAAAGCUAUUAUACAUCAUUCUAUCCUUAUCUUGGGUAGCAGGAGGGCAGAUGACCGACAGCUUGAGAGAGCCCAACCAAUGGGAAGGCGACAUGAGAGACUAGGCGUGUCCUGUGCACAAAAAAUGGGAGCUUAUGGGCUGUUAUUGUUCUGACUAAGCAGGAAGGAGGGGUGAGAAUCAGCCCUGUUGCCAGACCUAGUCUUUGUCUUUGUGGAUUUGGAGGAAAAAAUAAAUGCUGCACAAGUCUUAUGGAAAUUUAGUCCUUGGUCUAUGAAGGUUGGCAGGGUCUGUGCAGAAAUGUUUUCACAUGAGGUUACUGACAUCUAUGUAGGUGACCAGAAGUGAACUCAGAGCAUAGACAAGUCCUAUUUUUGCUUUUGUCAUCAAUGGAAGUCUUUAAAUUCCAGGCAUUAUCUUGCCUGUGUUUAUUUGAGUCAAAACACUUUUAGUUUGAUCUAUUAUUUAGAGGCAAUCAUGUUUAUUAAUAUUUUGAAGUUGUACAAAGCCCCAGAUGCCUCAUUACACAGUCAAACAAUAAACAAGUGUGCGUUUAGUACAUUUGACAUAAUCCAUAAAGAAACCAGUUUAUUGUAUUAAAAGAUUAGAUACGCACACUGCCUCUGGCUGAGCUCACGGCCUAACAAUAUCAACUACUUGCCAAAGACCCCUGAGAUGAGCAGGAUCUUAUUAGGAAGCCAAGUUUGGCAGAUAAACUCAUGCUGGGAAAUCAGUAUAAAACAGCAUCUGAGCAUGGAAGGGGGGGGAAAGAACAAAUUUAAGUAUUCAUUGCACAUAUUAAAAUAUGUGGAUUUACAUAAUCAGCACAUUUCACCUGCCCCAGCACCCCGCAGAUCUUAUUUAGAGUGAGGCAACACCCCUAAGGCAUUGUGUAUCCUAACUCCAGGGAUAACCCUGCUUUAUAAGCAAACACCUGCUUCUCCUUUGGUUCAGGUCCAGCCAACAACACAACCUAGAAAAUGGUCUAGAAAAUAGAAAUGAGGUAACUGUGAAAUGGAAAAAAGGAGAAUGAAAGCAAAGGGAUUCUCUGUAGCGCUAAUGUACAUACACAACAGGGGUAUCAGGCCCAUUAAUUGACUGCUUGAUUAAAAAAACACUUAUAUCCUGCAAUGUCAUAAAAAAUAUCAAAGCUGUUUACUAUACAAUUUUUUAAAAUCACAUAAAAACUAAAAACCACAGAUCACUGGCUAGCUAAUACAGAAAUAUUUUCCUUCUGAUUUGAGUCUGGACAUCUGUGGGUGAGAGACCCAGGUUCAAAUCCUGGCCAAGCAAUGACACCCUGGCCAUCUCCCUCGCACCAUUUUUCUUGACCUGAUCUAUGCAAACCAGUGGGAAUUUGCUUCCAGGCUCCAUAAGCAGGGGAAAAAUGUUGCUUGUCUAAGCAUUCUGUAUUAUUGCAAAUGCUUUUUGAAUUUAUCUAUGCCCGGGGCAUAAAUAGUUCUUCAUUUCUGCAGGGUACGUAAUAACUCUGGAAUGUAAAAGGGAGGGACGGCGAGUCUUGUCAGGAGGAGAAACAUUCAUUGUGUGCACGCGCAUGUGUAUAUGGACAAGGUUAAUACCUCAAUGGAAUCAUCUUUACUUUUAUUCCUCUGCUAGCAUCUUUCAUUCUCCAGUAGUUUCAAGCAGAGUCAAACUCCCACUUUGGGUUUAGAUGCAAUCAUCUUUCUAUUAUACGAAGGCUUCAUUGUGUUUCCAAAGACCUAGCCAACAGCAUCACUUCGAGACCUUGGAUUGCUGUGAAUUCUGAUGUGAACUGACAUGAUCCACACCUCCUGGACUAAGGUGUGGAUUGAGACCAAAUUGCCCUUCAAAUUUCACACUUCCCUGAUUUUGGCAAUAUAGAUCUUGGCUUAAAAAAAGCACCAAAGUGCCUUAAAAUGUGUAUUUUAGGAUAAAAUAUUGUUUAGAGAUGUGAACAUUGAGAUAAAAUGCAGUCUUAAAUGUGUUCUGUAAAUGAAAAUAUGAAUUUUCUUGUGGCAUUUUAAAAAAUAUAUAUUCCAGUGAUUUAUGUGGAAACCCAGACGAAAUGGACUUGUGAAUGAACAGGUAUGAAAUGGACACAGAUCAGAAAUGGACUGAUACGUUUCACCUUUCCUCCCAGGUAGAAUCUACACACACAUAAAAAACAUUUUGAAAAAUACAUCAAAUUUUGCAUAGCUCACUGUUGCCAUCUAUUGUCACAUUUGUAUACUGCGCUUUACAAUACAUUUAAAAUGUUUUAUUUGUGGCUGUAUAGCUGAGUCCCCAGCUACUGCAUUUAGAUGCACUUUUGAUGUAGCAGAAAUGCAGUUGGAUAAAAUAAGAUCAGAUUGGUAAAACCACUUAAGAAAUGAUUAAUAACUAUUCACAGUGAUAAUACUGCUAGCUUGCAAGUGAGAUAAAUUGGUUAUCAUUCACAGCCUUGCACUCAUGCCUCAUGGGCUGAGGCAUAGUAACCAAGAGCAUUUUCACAUGUGACUCUCAAAAAGUAUGUGAGUCUAGAAUGCAGUUCAUGUGAAAGUUCCUGCAGAUGAAGCAAAUUGACUAUUGGUUCAAAGCAAUGUAACUUGUUUUGUUUUAUUUAUUGGCACAGGACAUUGUAAAAACCUACUUGAACAUUACUUCUGAAUAUAACCUCUGAGUCAGUUCAGUUAGCUAACCCAGAACCUCACUGUUGUGGUGGCCUGAACUGUGAAGGACUUAUUUACAUGUUGAAAAUCUCACAUGUGAUGCACAUGAGAUGAUAACAUACGAAAUUUGACUGGUUUAGUCCAGAGGUGUGUCUUGCUGGAUGACAAAGAUCUGUGGAUUUGUAUGUGCUACAGAGGCGUCACUCAAUAGAGGGAGAAACCACAUAGUGAGUGACUAUGUAAUCGGCACUGAGCAUGUUUUUGGGUUUCAUUCAGUGUUUGCUGCUGAUUUCAGAUAGCGGUGCCCCCAAGAGAUCACUGAGUUUCUUGGCAAGUCAAUUUGCACGAUGAGCUGGAAAAUACUGCUGUUUCUGCCAAAAUCCACACAAAGGGCUGAGACUUAACAAUGCUGCAUCAGCAGCUCAUAAUCAAGUGAAUGCGCAGUUGAUUGUUUAUUGAAAUGGGGUUGGGGAGGAGUUCAGCUCAAAUGUAUAACUAGCUGAUCACUGAGAGGUGAAAACUUGAUUUUUAACCUGGACAGUAAAUCUUUCAAUUAAACCUUAAAUGUGAUCAUGUGCCCCCUUCGAGUUACAAAAUUGCAUGUGCGUAACUUGCAGAGCAAAGCAAAAUUCUAUUAAAUGAUAGAAGGCAGCAUAAGGGAAUUCUGUGAAAUUUAUCUCACAAACUAUCCAUCACACACACAUUAUCUAUCCACACACACAGCAAGUGUGAGAGAAAAUCUCUAAAUAUUUGCGUGCACCUACAUACAAAUGUUAACAUGAAUGGAAGAUCAUCAAGAUUCUGCCAUCACAUACGAUGAGAUAUAUGAAAAUGUACACUGCAUGCUUCUUAGAAAUCUUGAUGCCAUGGGUCUCUCUUCCAUGGAAAAUCUAUCUGUGCCUGGGUUUGCCACAUUCUAGAAACCGUUUGUUUCAAAAUGCAGCUGUAUAUUCGAAGUAAAAUUGAGCAGUGUACAAAACAUAAAAGAAAAAAAUUAAGAGCCAGAGUCCAAGAAAGCUUUGGUAAACAUAUACUGUAUAUUUUAAAGAAGUGUUUAAAGGUCAUGCCUGUCUCUCCCUCACAAAUCACCUGAGGGAGGGCAUUCCAGAGGGUGGAUGCUAUCACUGAGAAGGCCCACGUUGGAAUUAUGAAUUUAUGAAACUCUCCAAGAUUGCAAAGUUGCUGAAGAGUCAAAACAAGUCUGGCAGUUUUAAAAGUAUUAAUGUUUCUGAAACAUUUGUUUAACUAUAGACCUGGAUGAAUUUUAGAUUCAUAACAUUUUUUUCAUAUUUAAGCUCCUCCCAAUCAUAUCAAAUCAGAACAGCAAUUUCCCGAUUUUGGGAAACCUGAUCUUGAAACACUGGAAAAAUAAAUACAGUCCAACAAUCCGCCAAGGUGCCGAAGACAUGCCUUUUCCCGCCAUGUCUGAACUGGCUAUGUGAUUGAACCAGCUAGAGGCAGGAAUGAUGGUGGUUGUUUGGUUUCUACCUUCUUGAAGGGCACCAGAAACUAUCCUCCAGAAAUCCUUGCUGUCCUUUGCUUGAAUUGCCCUGAGCAGAUGAUGCCAAUGGCCUUCGUAGAAAGAUUUCUUUUUCUUAUGGAAGAGCUCUGAAAGAUGUUCUUUCAUGUUUAGAUAUUAUUUUAAGUGGCUCGGGUUCUUCCUGGAUUGAAAUAGCUGAAAUGCUUGUCUCAGAAGAGAUUUCUCAUGAUGGCAUUCUUUGUCAAACCAUGAGACAGCUUGAUGUGUUUUCCUGCUCACCGGUCUCGUACUGCCUGUGUAUUAUAGACUGCAGAAGCAAGAUGUUUACCGAAGCUAUCUUGACACUCAGUGCUUAGCUGACAAAAGGUUGUUGUUGCCAGUUAAAAAAAGCAGUCUUUCGAUGGCAGGGUGCAGUCUUUUACCACCUACUAGGUUUCAAACACUGUAUGAGGUCAGGAGAAUCAUAGAAUCAUAGAAUCAUAGAGUUGGAAGAGACCACAAGGGCCAUUGAGUCCAACCCCCUGCCAAGCAGGAAACACCAUCAGAGCACUCCUGACAUAUGGUUGUCAAGCCUCUGCUUAAAGACCUCCAAAGAAGGAGACUCCACCACACUCCUUGGCAGCAAAUUCCACUGUCAAACAGCUCUUACUGUCAGGAAGUUCUUCCUAAUGUUUAGGUGGAAUCUUCUUUCUUGUAGUUUGGAUCCAUUGCUCCGUGUCCGCUUCUCUGGAGCAGCAGAAAACAACCUUUCUCCCUCCUCUAUGUGACAUCCUUUUAUAUAUUUGAACAUGGCUAUCAUAUCACCCCUUAACCUCCUCUUCUCCAGGCUAAACAUGCCCAGCUCCAUUAGCCGUUCCUCAUAAGGCAUCGUUUCCAGGCCUUUGACCAUUUUGGUUGCCCUCCUCUGGACACGUUCCAGUUUGUCAGUGUCCUUCUUGAACUGUGGUGGAACUGUGGAGAAAAUCUGCUCCUAUUUCCAUAUAUAUAUAUUCACACACACACACACACACACAUGCCUGUUGUCUUUGUCCAUGGAGUUUUCUUGGCAGGGAUACUGGAGUGGUUUGCCGGUUCCUCUUCCAGGUGGAUCACGUUUGGUCAAAACUCUCCACUAUGACCUGUUCAUCUUGGGUGCCCUGCUCGGCAUAGUUCAUAGCUUCUCUGAGUUAUUCAAGCCCCUUCGCCACGGCAAGGCAGUGAUCCAUGAAGGGGACAAGGAGAAGGGGAUGACAGAGGAUGAGAUGGUUGGAUAGUGUUCUCGAAGCUACCAGCAUGAGUUUGACCAAACUGCGGGAGGCAGUGGAAGACAGAAGUGCCUGGCGUGCUCUGGUCCAUGGGGUCACGAAGACUCGGACACGACUAAACAACUAAACAACAACAAAUACACACAUAUAUAUACCGUAUAUACAUACAUAUCAUUCCCAACAAUCAUUUAACAUAUUUUCUUAUCUUAGACAAUAUUUUGGACUUCCAUCAACCACCUCUGAAGAUUUUUCAAUCUUUAUCACUUAGUUUACAUUUCUUAAUUUCUCUAUUACUUUAAAUCAUCCUUAACUAAUAACUCGCAUCAUAGUCUUCACUGCAAUAUUUUGUACAAAACUUCUUGCAGAUCUACUACCGUAAUCUGUUUACAGUGGUACCUUGGGUUACAUACGCUUCAGGUUACAUACGCUUCAGGUUACAGACUCUGCUAACCCAGAAAUAGUACCUCGGAUUAAGAACUUUGCUUCAGGAUGGGAACAGAAAUCGUGCUCCGGCGGCACGACAACAGCAGGAGGCCCCAUUAGCUAAAGUGGUGCUUCAGGUUAAGAACAGUUUCAGGUUAAGAACGGACCUCUGGAACGAAUUAAGUACUUAACCCGAGGUACCACUGUAUUACAAUUGCUUUUCAAAUAGUUCAGAUAUUUACUCCAGUCCUCUAAGAAUCUCUGGUCCCGCAGGUUUUGGAUCCUUCCUGUCAUCUUAUCUAAUUAUGCAUAGUCCAUUAAUUUCAUUUGCCACUCUUCUUUCGUCGGUAAUUCUUCUUGCUUCCAUUUCUGUGCCAAUAAUAUUCUUGCUGGCAUUGUUGCGUAUAAAACCAAUUUGCUAUCCUGAAAAUCUGCUCCUAUUUCCAACUCUGAGCGUGGGGUUGGAAACAGGGGCACAACACAGGUCCCCCCACUUUUAACAGCUCAGAGCUGGAGGAGGGCAGAAGCUUGAAAUGGCUCCAUCUCCCGCUUUCAUCUUGGAGCUGACAAGAGGAAAUGGAAGCUUGUUAGCUUGUACCUCAUGUGCACCUGAAGGGCACUUUGAGCUGAAGAGGGAAGUUGAGACAUGGUGCUCUUACCACUUCUUAACUUUUAUACAAAGGUUUUUGAUAGUUUUGUAUAUUUUCUUCUUUUUAUCAGGCUUGGAAGUGAGCGAGAUAAACAGAUCCAGCAGAUCAAUUUAUCUUCCCGAUACGCAGAC